UGCCAGCAGCCGCGGUAAUACGGAGGGGGUUAGCGUUGUUCGGAAUUACUGGGCGUAAAGCGCACGUAGGCGGAUCAGAAAGUUAGGGGUGAAAUCCCGGGGCUCAACCCCGGAACUGCCUCUAAAACUCCUGGUCUUGAGUUCGAGAGAGGUGAGUGGAAUUCCGAGUGUAGAGGUGAAAUUCGUAGAUAUUCGGAGGAACACCAGUGGCGAAGGCGGCUCACUGGCUCGAUACUGACGCUGAGGUGCGAAAGUGUGGGGAGCAAACAGGAUUAGAUA
rnacentral:rRNA from 1 species